GACGUAUAAGGAAAAGGCCGGCCGGCCCGGGCCGUGAGGCCUGUGCUUCCCCCCCCCUCGCCGCCUCAGGCGUGAAACCCCGGCGCGGGGUUUUAGCUGCAGGAACGCAAAGAACGGGCUCCCGCCGGGGGGAAAUGGGGUGUCAGGAUCCUCCCAGCGGCAAGGGCGGCUUUGUCUCCCCGCUUCCUCCGUACAAAAAUACGCCUAAAAAUCACGCUGACAUCACUACCGCCAGCCCUCCCCGCCCGCUGCAUUAACGGCAGACACUACCUCUCAGCGGCACCGCAACGCUGCUGCUGGAAAAGCCGUCGCUCCUGCCCGCGCUGAAGCUCGGAGCAGGGCACCCAGCGCUCUGAACGUGUGGAAAAUACUGGAAGCGUUCCGAGUCUGCAGAGAGGUCUGGAGUCAGGCUGGUGCGGUAUGAAGCCGCGCAGAGACCGAGGGAAGAGAAACAGCCGCGUUUAAAGCGCUGUGACCGCUCCUACUGAGGCUCCAGGAGAGGGGGACAAGGGGACGGCGAGGUGACAGCAAUCUCCUUGUGUAACCUGAGUAGCGGACCACUCAAGGGGGCCUCAUAGUUUCUGUCGGAAGGAACAAAAUACAGAACUGAAUUUUUUGUAGAGUUGAAGAUAACUGCGUUAAGGAAGACUGUGUUACGGAACACCUGCGUGGGAUUUAAUGCACAGAAAGAUUUAAUCACAAAACAGCUUGCUGCUUAUUCCCAAAGGCAGUAAGUGGAAGGAGGUAUGGAUAAAAAUUGAAGCUAGAUCUUUUAUUAAGACAGAGGAUUGUGCCUAGGAAGAUCGUUGAAACAACCUUCUGUAACACUGUCCUGUCUUGGGUCUUUUAAUGGUCUGCUCAUUUGUCCAGUGACCAUCAUUAAAGUCAUUAAAAAUGUUA